CAGCCGUAAACGAUGUGCGUUAGGUGUAUCGACGACCACGAGUCGUCGAGGUGCCGAAGGGAAACCGUGAAACGUACCGCCUGGGAAGUACGGUCGCAAGGCUGAAACUUAAAGGAAUUGGCGGGGGAGCACCACAACAGGUGGAGCCUGCGGUUUAAUUGGACUCAACGCCGGAAAUCUCACCGGAUAAGACAGCGGAAUGAUUGCCGGGCUGAAGACUCUGCAUGACUAGCUGAGAGGUGGUGCAUGGCGUCAGUGACU
rnacentral:rRNA from 1 species